rnacentral:rRNA from 1 species
UACGGAGGAUGCGAGCGUUAUCCGGAUUUAUUGGGUUUAAAGGGUGCGUAGGCGGGAUGCCAAGUCAGCGGUAAAAAUGCGGUGCUCAACGCCGUCGAGCCGUUGAAACUGGCGUUCUUGAGUGGGCGAGAAGUAUGCGGAAUGCGUGGUGUAGCGGUGAAAUGCAUAGAUAUCACGCAGAACUCCAGUGGCGAAGGCGACUUUCUGGACUGUACCUGACGCUGAGGCGCGAAAGCAUGGGGAGCGAACAGG